rnacentral:rRNA from 1 species
AUGCUGUCGUCUUCCACGGCCCCCUCCCUCCGCCUCCACCACCACCAACCAGCCCGGCCCCGCCGCCGCCCGCCGGCCCCGGCGGCCUACGGCCAAUUCCAGUCGCCCGCCGCGGCCCCCCGCCGCCACCUCCCCGCCGGGGCCGCCGUCCGCGCCCGCGGCGCCACCAUCCGCGCCAUCGACGCGGCCCAGCCGUUCGACUACGAGUCCCGCGCCGCGGGGCUGCUGGAGGAGCGGCAGCGCCUCAAGAUCGCCAUCGUCGGGUUCGGCAACUUCGGGCAGUUCCUGGCGCGCACCUUCGCGCGGCAGGGCCACACGCUGCUCGCCCACUCCCGCUCCGACCACUCCUCCCUCGCCGCCUCCCUCGGCGCCGCCUACUUCCAGGACCCGCACGACCUCUGCGAGUGCCACCCGGACGUCGUCCUCCUCGCCACCUCCAUCCUCUCCGCCGAGGCCGUGCUCCGCUCGCUCCCGCUCCACCGCCUCCGCCGCAGCACGCUCUUCGUCGACGUCCUCUCCGUCAAGGAGUUCCCCAAGAACCUCCUCCUCACCUCCCUCCCGGAGGGCUUCGACAUCCUCUGCACCCACCCCAUGUUCGGCCCGGAGUCGGCCCGCGACGGCUGGGACGGCCUCCCCUUCGUCUUCGACAGGGUCCGCGUCGGCGACUCCCCGGCCCGCCGCGCCCGCGCCAACGCCUUCCUCAACAUAUUCGAGCGCGAGGGGUGCCGCAUGGUGGAGAUGUGCUGCGCCGAGCACGACGCGCACGCCGCCGAGACGCAGUUCCUCACGCACACCGUCGGCCGGAUGCUCGCCACGCUCGAGCUCAGCUCCACCCCAAUCAACACCAAGGGCUACGAGACGCUGCUCCGCCUCGUGGACAAUACCUGCAGCGACAGCUUCGACCUCUACAACGGCCUCUUCAUGUACAACAAGAACUCGACGGACCUGCUCAACCGCCUCGAGUCCGCCAUGGACUCCGUCAAAAAGAGGCUCUUCGACGGCCUCCACGAGGUGCUCCGGAAGCAGCUCUUCGAGGGCAAGGCCUCGCCGCCCAGCACUGCCACCACCAGCCACCACACCGACGUGCACCGGAGGCAGCUCCUCCUGGAGGGCAAGCCCCCCUCACCCUCAGUGCCCACCCCCAACAACGUCACCGUCCCCAAGUAG